rnacentral:misc_RNA from 1 species
GAAAUGCGAUAAGUAAUGUGAAUUGCAGAAUUCAGUGAAUCAUCGAAUCUUUGAACGCACAUUGCGCCCGCCAGUAUUCUGGCGGGCAUGCCUGUUCGAGCGUCAUUUCAACCCUCAGGCCCCCAGUGCCUGGCGUUGGAGAUCGGCCGUACGGCGCAGCCACCCUCCGGGGGGGUUGCCGCCGGGCCGGCUCCGAAAUCUAGUGGCGGUCUCGCUGUAGUCCUCCUCUGCGUAGUAGCACAACCUCGCAGUUGGAACGCGGUGAUGGCCAUGCCGUUAAACACCCCACUUCUGAAAGUUGACCUCGGAUCAGGUAGGAAUACCCGCUGAACUUAAGC